rnacentral:piRNA from 1 species
UUGCUUUAGCUGAAUACCCUCU